rnacentral:tRNA from 1 species
AGGAGAAUAGCUCAAUGGUGAGAGUACUUGCUAUGUAAGCAUGAGGUCCUGAGUUCAAAUCCCUAGUCCCCUC